rnacentral:rRNA from 2 species
GGACUACCGGGGUAUCUAAUCCUGUUUGAUCCCCACGCUUUCGUGCCUCAGCGUCAAUGUUUGUUUAGCAAGCUGCCUUCGCAAUUGGUGUUCUAAGUCAUAUCUAUGCAUUUCACCGCUACAUGACUUAUUCCGCCUACCUCAACAAAAUUCAAGGCUAUUAGUAUCAAUGGCAGUUUCCGGGUUGAGCCCGGAGAUUUCACCACUGACUUAAAAACCCGCCUACACACCCUUUAAACCCAGUAAAUCCGGAUAACGCUUGCACCCUCCGUAUUACCGCGGCGGCUGGCAC